rnacentral:rRNA from 1 species
UACGAAGGGGGCUAGCGUUGUUCGGAAUUACUGGGCGUAAAGCGCGCGCAGGCGGUCUUCCAAGUCAGUGGUGAAAGCCCGGAGCUCAACCCUGGAAUUGCCUUUAAGACUGCAUCGCUUGAACAUCGGAGAGGUAAGUGGAAUUCCGAGUGUAGAGGUGAAAUUCGUAGAUAUUCGGAAGAACACCAGUGGCGAAGGCGACUUACUGGACGAUUGUUGACGCUGAGGUGCGAAAGCGUGGGGAGCAAACAGG